CUGAGUUUGGGGUUUUGGAUGCUGGGCCUGAGAGUCAGAGGCCAUUCAUCACUCAGGGCAGACAGCCCCACCCAAGGCUCGGUCUUCUCUACUAACACACCUCCAGAGACGGCAGGCUUACCACUUAGCAAGACUCCUAGACAAGGCUUCUUUGCGUGUGGCUCCAGAGGAAGGUGAAGAUGACACCUUUCAAUGUCACUAAGGAAAAGUGACAAGGGACAGAAGGGAAGGCAAUUUUUUUUUUUUGAGACAUGGUCUCACUCCCAUUGCCCAAGCUGGAGUUCAGUGGUUCUGUAUCACCUCAUUGCAGCCUCCACCUCCUGGGCUCAAGUGAUCCUCCCAUCUCAUUUUUUCAUUUUUUUGUAGAGAUAGGGUCUCACUACAUUGCCCAGACUGGUCUCGAACUCCUGGGCUUAAGGGAUCCUCCCACCUCAGCCUCCCAAAAUGUUGGGAUUACAGGCGUGAGCCACCGCUCCUGCCUCAGCCUCCACAGUAGCUGGGAUUACAGGUGCCUGCCACCAUGCCCAGCUAAUUUUUGUAUUUUUGGUAGAGACAGGGUUUCAUCAUGUUGGCCAGGCUGGUCUCAAAUUCCUGACCUCAGGUGAUCUGCCCGCCUCAGCCUCCCAAAGUGCUGGGAUUACAGGUGUGAGCCACCGUGCCCUGCCUUGAUUUCUUUUAUUGUCUUCAUAAAGCUGUGUGUCCAUCAACCCAAUCAACUUUAGAACAUUUCCAUCAUUCCAAAAGGAAACCCCGUUCCCUCCCCAGCCCUGGCACCCACACUUCCCCUCCCUGUCUCUGUGGAUCUGCCUGCCCUGGACAUUUCAUAGAAAUGGGAUUGCACACCUGUGGCCUUCUGUGUCUGGCGUCUCUCACUGAGUGUGGCGUCCUCAGGAUGCAUCUGCGCUGUGGCCUGGGUCAGAGCCUCGCUCCUUUUCACGGCUCAGUCGUGUUCCAGUGGGCAGAGGGCCAUGCCGUGUUUGCCCAUUCUUGUGUUGAUGGACAUUUGGGCUGUUUCAGACGUUUCUGAGUGUGUAGGGAAUGCUGUUCUUGCCAACUCUUCCAGUGGCCCUGGAUUUGGGCCUUUGACCCUCACAGAAGGCCAAGCAGAGGCUGGGCAGGUCCCACCAAGGCCAGAAGCAGAGGGCGUGUUCCCCAGCAGGGCCUGGUGUUUGGAGCAUGACACAUGGAAACAGCUUCCAGGCAUGACCCUGUGUCUCCCAGCUGGCCCUGCCACUUCUGGAGGUGACCCUGCCACCCUGUGACUCUGUUUCUCCGUCGGCAAAGGCGGCGGUGAUGGGGACUCUGUGGUGGCAGCUAUUGUCAGGCAGCAUGGCAGCUGCACACGGGGGCUCGCCCAUGUGAGGGAGGCUUUCCGCAGGUGGUCCCUGUCCCUGUCCCUGUUCGCAUGGUCCUGCAGACGGCCGUCUCACCCCCAUACCACUGGCGUUGGAGGGCAGAUUGGGCGUGAGGAGAGGGUGAAUCUGUGUCCAGGGCUCCCCAGUUUUCCGUUCAGACCCGUGGGGAGGCGACUUUCCCGCUGUGGGCUCCAGCAUCGGGAGGGGUGGUCUGUGUGGAGUGACGUGUGGCCCUGUCCCCGCUACGAGAAAUCCCGGGGAAAGGAGGGGUGAAGGGGGCGGGAGGGGGUUCCUGGAAUCUGGCUGAGCUUGGGUGGCACCCAAGGAUGCCUGCAGCCCGCCCAGUGGCACGGGAAGCCCCCUCACCCGCUGGCUGGAAGGGGUGGGAGGCAAGUGGCAGGAGGCAGGUGGAUGGGUUGCCUGUUCUUCCCUGGGGGCGCCAGGGGAAGACCUGUCCCUGCCAGAGCACCGCGGCUGGCAGCCCCCAGCCCUUUGGUGGCAGCUAUGCCCUGGGGUGGGCAGGGUGAUGCGUAGGUCAUCUGCCCCUGUGGUGGGCCCAGCGCCCUCCUGUCUUCUCAGACCCUCCAGAGGAGGCAAAGGAGGUCUCUCAGGCAGAGCGAGAACAUGUCAUUCCUUCAGGGACAGCAGAACCACCACAGGUACUGCCCACCUGGGUCAGACAUCAGAGGGACAGAGACAGAGAGACAGAGACAGUCAGAGACAGAGAGACAAAGGGAGACAGAGAGAGACAGACGCAGGCAGACAGAGUCAGAGAUGGAGGGAGGAAGAGACGGAGAGACAGUGACAGAGACAGAAGGAGACAGAGACAGAGAGACAGAGACAGAGGGAGACAGAGAGACAGAGAUGGGGGAGACAGACAAAAACAGAGAGACAAAGACAGAGACAGAGGGAAACAGAGAGAGGGAGAGACAGAAAUAGAGAUAAACAGAGACAGAGAGGGAAGGAGACAGAGAAAGAGACAGAGAGACAGAGGGAGACAGAGAUAGAUCGAGUCGGACAGAGACAGAGAAAGAGACACAGAGAGACAGAGGGAUACAGAGAUACAGCAAGUCGGAGAGAGACAGAGAGACAUGGGGAGACAGAGGCAGCGCAGGGGCGGCUGUGCAGGGCGAUGGGCCGAGGGCUCCAUCCCGGCCUUCCUGGCCCCUGGGCCCCCCGCCUCCCAGCUGUGACUGGCCUGCUCUGGCCUUGGGCUCCGCCUGACUUUUCUGGGUUUGGGGUUGAGGGUGCAGGAGGCCCUGGCAGGGCAGGACUCUGGGUCCCCAGGGGCCGCCUCACCAUCCUGCCCCCGGGGUCACAGAACUUGGGCAUCUCCCCAUCAGUGGGCGACACGGGCCCAGCAGGGACUCGGGAAGGGGCUGGGGCACCCUGGGCUCUGCUCAGCCCGUGUCCCAGGAGCUUGGCAAGGGGCGCACAGCCAGCCCACAGCUAACUGCUGAGGGGAACCCUCCUCUCCCAGGUGCCAGCCCAGGUGGGGGCAGGGAGCCUCAGGCCCUACCCUCGGGUGCUCACAGCGUCUCCUGGACUUAGCAGAGGUCGGUGAGGCCCGAGGAAGCUUCAUGCUGGGGUCUCGGUGCAGGAGGUGGAGGGGGGAUGGGAAAAGGCUUGAAGGGAGGGCCCGGAUCCAUCAAUGGACACUGAGGCUGCUUGGUGUCUCCUGGAAGAUCUGUUCACAUCCUGGCCCCUGAAACUUGUGAAUGGGACUUUAUUUAGAAAUAGGGCCUUUGCGGCCGGGCGCGGUGGCUCACGCCUGUAAUCCCAGCACUUUGGGAGGCCGAGGCAGGCGGAUCACAAGGUCAGAAGAUCGAGACCAUCCUGGCUAACACGGUGAAACCCCGUCUCUAUGAAAAAUACAAAAACAAAAUUAGCCGGGCGUGGUGGCGGCAGGCGCCUGUAGUCCCAGCUACUCGGGAGGCUGAGGCAGGAGAAUGGUGUGAACCCGGAAGGCGGCGCUUGCAGUGAGCCGAGAUCGCGCCACCGCACUCCAACCUGGGCGACACAGCGACACUCCGUCUCAAAAAAAAAAAAAAAAAAAUAGGGCCUUGGCAGAUGUGACCGAGUUAUGACGAGGUCGUUCGAGUGGGCCUGGCGCAGCGUGACUGGCAUCCAUAUAAAAUACACAUGCAUUGAUUGGGCACUGGUGAAAGGGAACUACCUCAGUCCCCACCUCAGGAUGUCGCAUAACCGGUGUUUAUGGCACCAAAAACUUCAUCUCUGUAAACCACUUGGAGGGGUGUCUGGCACCAAGUCCAUGUCCAUGAGUGUCUGAAAAUAGCAUAAAAAUAAAAUAGAAAAAAAGAAAGAGCUGGUGCCUACCCUCGGGGAGCCUACAGGACGUGAGCUUGAAAGAGCUGGUUAUCUCCCCGUCUCUCUGUCUCUCUCUGUCUUGGAAAUGUCUAAGGGGGCAGGCAGGAGGGCUUCCUGGAGGAGGGGUCCUUUGAGCUGAGUUCAGAAGGGCGAGAAGGAGCCAGGUUUCUCAUGGAGCAGCCAAUGCAAAGGGCUGGGGGCCACCUGGAGCCUGGUGUGUCCUUCGGGCAGCUGGUGUGGCUGGAGCAGGGGAUGCCAAGCCUGCUGAGGGCUUCAUGGGCCGCAGGGAGGAGUUUGGUUUUUCUCCUGAGGGCACUGGGGAGCCACAGCAGAGUUUAGAGCAGAAGAAGGACACAAUUUGUGCCCUGUGCCCGUGGUGAGCGGCGAGCAGGGAGGGCUGCCUGGAGGCGGGUAAGGACCUCAGAGCGGAAUUCUGCCACAGUGAAGCUUUGGAGGAAAUCUUUCUUCCUUUUCUCUUCUUUUCCCAUCACGGGUUGAGAAAUUGGAGGGAGGGGCAUUGCUGGGGCUUCCUGUGCCCGCGUGUGCGGGGGGUUCUGGGGCCUGCUGCCUGCCUGAGCCAGCCCCUUUUCCCGCCAGAGGCCUCUCGUCAGUCCCCGGGGGGGCCCAGUGGUGACCUUGGGCCUCGGGGAACAUCCAGACCUGGGUCAGUGGCCUCGGCAAGUGCCCGGGGGAUCCGCCCUCCGGUCCCCGUGCCAGUUUCCACAGCGGGACAGGGGGGUCCCGGGGGCCGGGAGUCCGCAGCCCCGAAGACCUACGCUGCCGCCAGCCACACCCCUGGGGGUCCGACCCUCCUGGGUCCCACUUUACAGAUGGAGGAACUGAGGCGGUGACUCUAAUCUUCGCCCGGCCUGAGUCGCGGGGCUGGAACCCGCAGCGUUUGCCGAUUCCCAGGGCCCGAGCGCUCCGGCGAGUGUGUGUGUAACGCCCUCUCCCUGGACGCCUCGAGUUUAGGAAACGGCGGAGCCGCCCGGAUUGAAAUUCUCGGCCCGUGCACGCCCGGCGGAGAAAUCCAUGACGCAUUGUUUAGACAGACGCCUUUAAACCGCGCCGCGGCGGGGGGCGGCGGCCGGGGGC
rnacentral:lncRNA from 1 species